GGGACUGCAAGUUAUUUCACUGCCAACAUACUUUAGACAUCAGCAAAACAUUCUUUUCCCAUCAAUAUUUAUAUUUUGGAGAAAGUACCAACAGAAACUGCUGAAAAAAACUAAAGAAUGUGGAUCAGUUGUUCUGGCAGGUGAUGUUCAUCAUGACAGUAUGGGGCAUUGUGCCAAGUACUGUGCCUAUACCGUCUUUUGUUGUUCCACGUCAUCCAUUAUUCACUUUUCCUUUGUUCAGGUUCGUAACUUAAAGUGGCUUGGAUUU